GAAAGGAUUAGAUCCGCUAAGUGAGUGCCUGUUCUGUGCACCAUUGCAAAACACAUUUCAGAAAGCAGUGGAUUCGCCUUAAAUGAGUAUCUGCUGGAGGAGCAAAGCCCUAGGAAAACAAAGGGGCACGCCAGGUUUCUUCAGAAGAACACUGACGAGUCUUUUCAAGGGAAACAUCAGCUUCUCCUUUAAGCCCAGAGUGAAGUCUUUAGAAUCUACCCGCUGCCCCAGAAGCUGGUGGCUUUCUACACCACCUUUUCUGUCCAAGAGGACUCCUUUAAGACUCCUCAGGGCCUUCAGAAGUUGCUGCAGAAGACAGUGUAAUGAAGGUGCUGCUUAGGACAUGAGUGGAAUGGAGUCCACGUCUUUAAGAUUAAACUUUAUAGAUCAGAUGGCUUGGAACCCUGGUCCUUGAUGAAGGUGUUCCCUGAAAAAGUGUUCGUGGUGAGACCUGAGAUGACCACAGCACUGUUCAGACCUGUCAG
rnacentral:lncRNA from 1 species